AUUGAACGCUGGCGGCAUGCCUUACACAUGCAAGUCGAACGGUAACAGGUUAAGCUGACGAGUGGCGAACGGGUGAGUAAUGUAUCGGAACGUGCCCAGUCGUGGGGGAUAACUGCUCGAAAGAGCAGCUAAUACCGCAUACGACCUGAGGGUGAAAGCGGGGGAUCGCAAGACCUCGCGCGAUUGGAGCGGCCGAUAUCAGAUUAGGUAGUUGGUGAGGUAAAGGCUCACCAAGCCGACGAUCUGUAGCUGGUCUGAGAGGACGACCAGCCACACUGGGACUGAGACACGGCCCAGACUCCUACGGGAGGCAGCAGUGGGGAAUUUUGGACAAUGGGCGCAAGCCUGAUCCAGCCAUGCCGCGUGCGGGAAGAAGGCCUUCGGGUUGUAAACCGCUUUUGUCAGGGAAGAAAAGGUUCUGGCUAAUACCUGGGACUCAUGACGGUACCUGAAGAAUAAGCACCGGCUAACUACGUGCCGGCCGCCGCCUGUAA
rnacentral:rRNA from 1 species